rnacentral:lncRNA from 1 species
AGAGGUUCAGCCCACAGAUUCAUCUAUCUAUUCGCCAAUCUUAUACCCUCAACAUUCUCAAACUCUUUCUCUCUCCCUUUCCAUCUUGUCCUUCACAAUCACAACAACAACCACCGCCACCACCACCACCUGUGAGGGAAUGGCCGAGAGAGAAGAUUUUCCGGCAGGAGACAAAGAGUUCCGGCCGAGGAAGAGAGUGUUCCGACCGAGAUAAAGAGUUCCGGUGACGUUUCGCGGU